rnacentral:lncRNA from 1 species
AUUUCAAAUCAGACAAUAAAGAUGAGGAAAUGUGACAAACAUAAAUGAUAAACAAACAAACAAACAAACAAUGCUUUUAUUCUUUCUUAAUAUAUGCCUCCAACCCCAAUAGGAGAACAUAGAAACCCCUCCAGAGGGUUUAUCUGUUCUGUCUGAAAAUGGAAAAUAAAAUAAGCAGCAAUAAAUUUGGUCUUUUUUUGUUUUGGUCUUUUGGAUGAUCAAAACCAAAA